rnacentral:rRNA from 1 species
GACGAACGUUGGCGGCGUGCUUAAUACAUGCAAGUCAACUGAAGCAGUGGUAGCAAUAUCGCUGUGGAGGUGGCGCACGGGUGAGUAACACGUAGGUAAUCUGCCUUCAGGUCUGGCAUAACUCCGGGAAACCGGGGCUAAUAGCAGAUGAUGCAGCGGCUCGACAUCGAGACAGUUGUUAAAGCUAUGGCGCCUGAAGAUGAGCCUGCGUCUGAUUAGCUAGUUGGCGGGGUAACGGCCCACCAAGGCAACGAUCAGUAGCUGGUCUGAGAGGAUGAUCAGCAACACUGGAACUGAGACACGGUCCAGACUCCUACGGGAGGCAGCAGUAAGGAAUAGUGCUCAAUGGGAGAAAUGCUGAAGCAGCAACGCCGCGUGAGGGACGAAGGGCUUUUGCUUGUAAACCUCUGUAGUGAGAGAAAAAAAUCCCAAUCUUUGGGACAUGAUGGUAUCUCAAAAGUAAGCCCCGGCUAACUACGUG